rnacentral:tRNA from 1 species
CGGGGUGUAGCUCAGCUUGGUUUAGAGCGCUUGGUUCGGGACCAAGAGGUCGCCGGUUCAAAUCCGGCCACCCCGAC